rnacentral:misc_RNA from 1 species
AAAUGCGAUAAGUAAUGUGAAUUGCAGAAUUCAGUGAAUCAUCGAAUCUUUGAACGCACCUUGCGCUCCUUGGUAUUCCUUGGAGCAUGCCUGUUUGAGUAUCAUGAAAUCUUCAAAGUAAAUCUUUUGUUAACUCAAUUGGUUUCUACUUUGGUAUUGGAGGUCUUUGCAGCUUCACACCUGCCCCUCUUUGUUCAUUAGCUGGAUCUCAGUGUUAUGCUUGGUUCCACUCGGCGUGAUAAGUUAUCUAUCGCUGAGGACACUGUAAAAGGUGGCCAAGGUAAAUGCAGAUGAACCGCUUCUAAUAGUCCAUUGACUUGGACAAUACUUUUAUGAUCUGAUCUCAAAUCAGGUAGGACUACCCGCUGAACUUAAGC